AAAAUAGGAUGUGAAACCAGACAGGAUCUGAUGACUGGGGACCUGAAAGAGAGAAGAAAUCCUUGAGACAGUGGAGCGAUCCAGCCAAGUUCUGUUUGGAAGGAAAAGACAGAUUGAUGAAAGCUGUCUGUCCCAGAGAGAGAAUGGGUUUCCCCUAUUGCCAGAAGAGAGGCAUAAUUUCUAAAAGCCUGACUGUGGCCUCCAGCUAAGGGGCUUCUCAUUUACACAAGCACACCUCGGAUAUCGGAGCCAUGAGUCCCACAUCAGCAUCCACCCAGAGUCAACACUAAGACCCGCUCGCCAGCUAGGUCAUUCGAUCCUUGUGCUAUUCAAAAGAGAAGCUGGAACAAUUUCUUCCCCCCAGAAAUGAACUUUUUUUUUUCCGGAGCUGGGGACCGAACCCAGGGCCUUACGCUUGCUAGGCAAGCGCUUUACCACUGAGCUAAAUCCCCAACCCCUAGAAAUGAACUAUUUUUAGGACAGGAACACCUUGCUGGGGAGCCUGAACACAAAGAAGGUAAGCUGUGGAAAGAACUGGAACGAAGACCCUGUGGAGCUUGAACAGAGAAAACUACUUUAAAGAUGCUUAAAGAGAAGGGGACCCAG